rnacentral:rRNA from 1 species
UACGUAGGGAGCAAGCGUUGUCCGGAAUCAUUGGGCGUAAAGCGCGCGUAGGCGGCCCUGUAAGUCCGCUCUGAAAGUCAAAGGCUCAACCUUUGAAAGCGGGUGGAUACUGCAGGGCUAGAGUCCGGAAGAGGCGAGUGGAAUUCCUGGUGUAGCGGUGGAAUGCGCAGAUAUCAGGAGGAACACCAACGGCGAAGGCAGCUCGCUGGGACGGUACUGACGCUGAGGCGCGAAAGCGUGGGGAGCGAACAGGAUUAGAAACCCCCGUAGUCC